rnacentral:rRNA from 1 species
UACGAGGGGGGCGAGCGUUGUUCGGAAUUAUUGGGCGUAAAGGGUGCGUAGGCGGUUCCGCAAGUCCUGUGUGAAAUCUUCGGGCUCAACUCGAAGUCUGCACGGGAAACUGCGGGGCUUGAGUGUGGGAGAGGUGAGUGGAAUUCCCGGUGUAGCGGUAAAAUGCGUAGAUAUCGGGAGGAACACCUGUGGCGAAAGCGGCUCACUGGACCAUAACUGACGCUGAUGCACGAAAGCUGGGGGAGCAAACAGG